AACGAACGCUGGCGGCAGGCCUAACACAUGCAAGUCGAGCGAGGACUUCGGUUCUAGCGGCGGACGGGGGAGUAACGCGGGGGAAUGUGCCCUUCUCUACGGAAUACCCCUGGGAAACUGGGAUUAAUACCGUAUACGCCCUAUUGGGGAAAGAUUUAUCGGAGAAGGAUCAGCCCGCGUUGGAUUAGGUAGUUGGUGGGGUAAUGGCCUACCAAGCCGACGAUCCAUAGCUGGUUUGAGAGGAUGAUCAGCCACACUGGGACUGAGACACGGCCCAGACUCCUACGGGAGGCAGCAGUGGGGAAUCUUAGACAAUGGGGGCAACCCUGAUCUAGCCAUGCCGCGUGAGUGAUGAAGGCCUUAGGGUUGUAAAGCUCUUUCAGCUGGGAAGAUAAUGACGGUACCAGCAGAAGAAGCCCCGGCUAACUACGUG
rnacentral:rRNA from 1 species